rnacentral:rRNA from 1 species
ACGAACGUUGGCGGCGUGCUUAAUACAUGCAAGUCGCGCGAGAAAGCCGGGGCAACUCGGCGAGUACAGCGGCGGAAGGGUGCGUAAUACAUGGAUAACGUGCCCUCGAGUUGGGGAUAACCCUCCGAAAGGUGGGCUAAUACCGAAUGACGGCGCGGGGCGGCAUCGCUUCGCGCUCAAUGCCGAGAGGCGCUCGAGGAGCGGUCCAUGGCCUAUCAGCUAGUUGGCGGGGUAACGGCCCACCAAGGCGAUGACGGGUAGCCGGACUGAGAGGUUGAACGGCCACACGGGAACUGAGACACGGUCCCGACAUCUACGGAUGGCAGCAGUAGGGAAUCUUGCGCAAUGGGCGAAAGCCUGACGCAGCGACGCCGCGUGGGGGAUGAAGGCCUUCGGGUUGUAAACCCCUUUCAUGAGGAAGGAACACUGACCACCUCAGGAAGAAGCACCGGCUAACUCCGU